AAAAAGCAAUGAUAUUCUGGAUUGUUUGC
rnacentral:sRNA from 1 species